GUGCCCUUUUAAGGCUGACACAGUGCCUGAAGAGGCUAACACAGGAGGGUAAAGAACCCAGAGAAGAGAUUUUUAGAACUCCUCUCUGGAUCCUGUCUGGAGUCACAACU
rnacentral:snoRNA from 1 species